rnacentral:rRNA from 1 species
CAAACCCAAUGUGAACCAUACCAAACUGUUGCCUCGGCGGGGUCACGCCCCGGGUGCGUCGCAGCCCCGGAACCAGGCGCCCGCCGGAGGGACCAACCAAACUCUUUUCUGUAGUCCCCUCGCGGACGUUAUUUCUUACAGCUCUGAGCAAAAAUUCAAAAUGAAUCAAAACUUUCAACAACGGAUCUCUUGGUUCUGGCAUCGAUGAAGAACGCAGCGAAAUGCGAUAAGUAAUGUGAAUUGCAGAAUUCAGUGAAUCAUCGAAUCUUUGAACGCACAUUGCGCCCGCCAGUAUUCUGGCGGGCAUGCCUGUCCGAGCGUCAUUUCAACCCUCGAACCCCUCCGGGGGGUCGGCGUUGGGGAUCGGGAACCCCUAAGACGGGAUCCCGGCCCCGAAAUACAGUGGCGGUCUCGCCGCAGCCUCUCCUGCGCAGUAGUUUGCACAACUCGCACCGGGAGCGCGGCGCGUCCACGUCCGUAAAACACCCAACUUCUGAAAUGUUGACCUCGGAUCAGGUAGGAAUACCCGCUGAACUUAAGCAUAUC